CCGCCGCCGGGGGGUCCUCCGCCGCCACCGCCGCCGUAGUGGUUGACGAAGAUGAGGCCGGUGAAGAGCAGCACCACCAUGGAGAGGAAGGAGAAGACGACGCACACGCAGCCGGCGGUGAGCGCGGCGCGCUUGCAGUUCUGGCAGCUCUCGUAUGCGCCCGGGGCGCGCAGGCCGGCGCGGGCGCGUGGCCCGUGGGCCGCGUCCUCGGCGGGCGGCGGCGGCGGCAGCGGGGCCGGGGCUGGCGGCGGGGCCGCUGCAGGCGCUGGGCGGCGCGCGGGCAGCGGCGGGAGGCGGUCCUGGGGCAGCGGGUCGUGCGCGGCGCGCAGGGCCAGCGGGAAGGCCUCGGCGAGCUUAGUGUUGUUGGGCAGGCCGUGCACGCGGCUGUCGGGCAGCGGCGUGCGGUGGCGGCACACGGGGCACGCGAUGGCGCCGGGCGGGCCGUGCCAGGGCGGCGGGCGCAGCGGGCGCUCAGGCGCGGCGGUGGCGGCGGCGGCGGCGGCGGCGGCGCGGAGCUGCAGCUGGCUCAGGCACUCCUGGCAGAAGGUGUGCAGGCACGCCAGCAGCUUGGGCGCGCGCCGGUCCGCGUCGAAGUAGUUGUAGCAGAUUUUGCACUCGUAGUCCUCGAGCGGAGGGAGGCCGGAGACCGUCACCGUGGCGCUCCGGGCUCCCGAGUCCCCGCCGUCCCGAGCUCCCGCCACGGUGCCCCCGGCUCCUGUGGAGCUCCCGGGGCUGCUGGAUGGGCUCCGCUCGCCGGCGUCCCCGCCGCCGCUAUCGCUCGUCGGCGCUGCCAUGGCAGGAUCCGCCCCUCAUCGGGGGCAAGGUUGGACCUCACCCUAUGAAGAGAGAACCCCUCCCCUCGAACCCCCAGCAAGGAACAGGAAGGGGAUGGCUCUCUGGGUUCUCAGGAGGUGGCAAUGUCCCCUCUUUCUCUCUGGAUUCUCAGCAGAAGACAGCAAGAUGCCCCAGGGAAUAUUUGUGGAAAACGACGAAUGAAUGGGGAACAGGCUGAAGGAAAGGAAAGAAAGCUACUGGUCAUCCAAAACCAGGAAAGUCUGAGAAACUGUCACUGCCAAGAAGAGACCAAGGAGACAGGACGAGUAAAUGUAAUAUGGUGUCCUGAAUGGCAUCUGGAACCAAAAAAAGGACAUUAGAUAAAAACUAAGGGAA
rnacentral:lncRNA from 1 species